rnacentral:rRNA from 1 species
CAAGUCGAACGGGAAUCUUCGGAUUCUAGUGGCGGACGGGUGAGUAACGCGUAAGAAUCUAACUUCAGGACGGGGACAACAGUUGGAAACGACUGCUAAUACCCGAUGUGCCGCAAGGUGAAACCUAAUUGGCCUGGAGAAGAGCUUGCGUCUGAUUAGCUAGUUGGUGGGGUAAAGGCCUACCAAGGCGACGAUCAGUAGCUGGUCUGAGAGGAUGAGCAGCCACACUGGGACUGAGACACGGCCCAGACUCCUACGGGAGGCAGCAGUGGGGAAUUUUCCGCAAUGGGCGAAAGCCUGACGGAGCAACGCCGCGUGAGGGAGGAAGGUCUUUGGAUUGUAAACCUCUUUUCUCAAGGAAGAAGUUCUGACGGUACUUGAGGAAUCAGCCUCGGCUAACUCCGUGCCAGCAGCCGCGGUAAUACGGGGGAGGCAAGCGUUAUCCGGAAUUAUUGGGCGUAAAGCGUCCGCAGGUGGUCAGCCAAGUCUGCCGUCAAAUCAGGUUGCUUAACGACCUAAAGGCGGUGGAAACUGGCAGACUAGAGAGCAGUAGGGGUAGCAGGAAUUCCCAGUGUAGCGGUGAAAUGCGUAGAGAUUGGGAAGAACAUCGGUGGCGAAAGCGUGCUACUGGGCUGUAUCUGACACUCAGGGACGAAAGCUAGGGGAGCGAAAGGGAUUAGAUACCCCUGUAGUCCUAGCCGUAAACGAUGGAUACUAGGCGUGGCUUGUAUCGACCCGAGCCGUGCCGAAGCUAACGCGUUAAGUAUCCCGCCUGGGGAAUACGCACGCAAGUGUGAAACUCAAAGGAAUUGACGG